rnacentral:rRNA from 1 species
GAUGAACGCUGGCGGCGUGCCUAAUACAUGCAAGUCGAACGAAACUUCUUUAUCACCGAGUGCUUGCACUCACCGAUAAAGAGUUGAGUGGCGAACGGGUGAGUAACACGUGGGCAACCUGCCCAAAAGAGGGGGAUAACACUUGGAAACAGGUGCUAAUACCGCAUAACCAUAGUUACCGCAUGGUAACUAUGUAAAAGGUGGCUAUACUACCGCUUUUGGAUGGGCCCGCGGCGCAUUAGCUAGUUGGUAGGGUAAAGGCUUACCAAGGCAAUGAUGCGUAGCCGAAUUGAGAGGUUGAUCGGCCACAUUGGGACUGAGACACGGCCCAGACUCCUACGGGAGGCAGCAGUAGGGAAUCUUCCACAAUGGGCGAAAGCCUGAUGGAGCAACGCCGCGUGGGUGAAGAAGGUCUUCGGAUCGUAAAACCCUGUUGUUAGAGAAGAAAGUGCGUGAGAGUAACUGUUCACGUUUCGACGGUAUCUAACCGGAAAGCCACGGCUAACUACGUG